rnacentral:rRNA from 1 species
CACGUAGGGGGCGAGCGUUGUCCGGAUUUAUUGGGCGUAAAGAGCUCGUAGGCGGUUCGGCAAGUCGGGCGUGAAAUUCGAGGCUCAACCUCGAAACGCCACUCGAUACUGCUGUGACUGGAGUCCGGUAGAGGAGUGCGGAAUUCCUGGUGUAGCGGUGAAAUGCGCAGAUAUCAGGAGGAACACCAACGGCGAAGGCAGCACUCUGGGCCGGUACUGACGCUGAGGAGCGAAAGCGUGGGGAGCAAACAGG